AUUGAACGCUGGCGGCAUGCUUUACACGUGCAAGUCGAACGGCAGCGCGGGCUUCGGCCUGGCGGCGAGUGGCGAACGGGUGAGUAAUGCAUCGGAACGUGCCCAGUAGUGGGGGAUAGCCCGGCGAAAGCCGGAUUAAUACCGCAUACGACCUGAGGGUGAAAGCGGGGGACCGAAAGGCCUCGCGCUAUUGGAGCGGCCGAUGUCGGAUUAGCUAGUUGGUGGGGUAAAGGCUUACCAAGGCGACGAUCCGUAGCUGGUCUGAGAGGACGACCAGCCACACUGGGACUGAGACACGGCCCAGACUCCUACGGGAGGCAGCAGUGGGGAAUUUUGGACAAUGGGGGCAACCCUGAUCCAGCCAUGCCGCGUGCGGGAAGAAGGCCUUCUGGUUGUAAACCGCUUUUGUUCGGGAAGAAAUCCUCUGGGCUAAUACCCCGGGGGGAUGACGGUACCGGAAGAAUAAGCACCGGCUAACUACGUG
rnacentral:rRNA from 1 species